ensembl:lncRNA
ACAUGGAGUGGAAGACUUUGAGGAGGAGAUUCUGUGCUAGACUGGUCUUGCUUAGAAGACAUUUCCAGAUUAGAUCCAUUGUUUUGUAUGUGCAUUUUAUUUCUCACUGCUGUAUAUAUAGUUGACAAUAAGUACUUUUUAGAAAUAUCUAGGCUUUGUACAGAGUUCGCGUCGUGGCUCAGUGGUUAACGAAUAUGAUUAGAAACCCUGAGUUUGCGGGUUCGAUCCCUGGCCUUGCUCAGUGGGUUACAGAUCCAGCGUUGCCGUGAGCUGUGGUGUAGAUUGAAGACGCGGCUCGGAUCCCACGUUGCUGUGACUCUAGUGUGGGUUGGCGGCUAUAGCUCCGAUUCGACCCCUAGCCUGGGAACCUCCAUAUGCUUCCGGGGGAUCAGCCCUAGAAAAGGCAAAAAGACCAAAAAAAAAAAACAAAACUAGGCUUUGUAGAUAUUCUGAAGCGCCUGAUAUAUGUUAAAAGUAGAGGUAGUAAAAAGACAUUUUAUAAAUAUCUUUUUGUUAAAAUGCAUAUGAAAUAUUGUUUAUUUGGGGGGAGGGAGGGAUGGCCAAACCACCUCUUUGAACAGGGCAUUGUGUUUUGUGCACUGGUUCAAGGUCAGGGGAGGAGAAGGAAGUGCAAAGAGCUCUAUGCCAGUGUUUACAGUGAGGCAAGAUUAACCAUUGUCCUUUUUAUGUGCAUUUUGUUUCACUUUGCUGUGUAGGUAGUGUAUAUAAAUGGACAAAUGAGUCCUCAUUUAUAACAUCUGGCUUUUCUAGAUGUUAAAGAGGUUUUGCCAGUGUAUGACAGAAAUAGAGUUAGUAAAUGAAUACAUUUUGUGUUAAAAUUUCUGGGAAAGAUUGUCUCCUGAAAAUUGGAGCAUUAUAGCCCUCUGGGUUGCUGGAGGGGAAGGAAGAGGGAAAGGGAUGGGUGGUCUUAGGCUGGAAUGCUCAUAUUUCAAAGACACUUUCAGAUUAUAACUGUUACAUGUUGCAGUUUAUUCAAGACUUCUCUGUAUACAGUGGACAAAUUAAGUCCUUAUUUGAAACAUCUAGUCCCCCAGAUGUUUAGAGGUGCCCUACGUAUGUUAAAAUGUAGAGGUGGUAAAAUAGCACUUUGUAAAUAUCUUUUUGCUGAAAUUCAUAGGAAAUACCGUCUUUUGGAAAUACUCACUACUACCUCUCUGAGUAGUAAUUUUGAGGAGGUGGGAGGGAAAGAAUUGCAAAAGUAAUAUGCUAGUGUGUUUGUACCUGUACAUUUUCAGACAAAACUAUUUUUUGUAUGUUAGGUGCAUUUUGCUUUGCUGUGUAUAUAGUGUAUAUAAUGGACAAAUGAGUCCUAAUUUUGCAACAUCUAUCUCUAGAUGUUAAAAAGAGGUUGCUAAUAUAUGACUAAAGUAGAGUUAGUAAACUAACAUGUUUUGUACGCUUGCGUAAAAUUUCAUUGAAAGGCUGUUUUCUGAAAAGGACCUUUGAAAAUGAAAUUGUAAAUCACAUCUAAGUGACACAUGUGCCUGCACCCACCGUUGGAUGGACUGUGGGAAGGAGGAGUUAGGAGAAAUGAAGGGUUCUAAACUCGAGUGUUCCUGUGUAGAAGACACUUUCAGAUAUAACCAUUGCUAACAUGUGGUUUAUUCAACACUACUGUGUAUAUAUAGUGGACAAACUUAAGUCCUUAUUUGAAACAUCUUGUCUUUCUAGAUGUUUAGAAGUACACAAAGCAUGUUAAAAGUAGAGGUAGUAAAAUAACAUUUUGUAGAUAGCCUUUUGUUAACAUUCAUGAAGUACUGCCCUUCAGAAAUGGAAUAAUCAAACCACCUCUCUGAGCAGUGCACAUUUGUGCUGGUUCAAGGAGGAAGAAGAGAGUACAAGGGCUUUAUUCCAAUAAAUAUGUUUAUAGUUAGGCAAGUUUAACCAUUGCCCUGUAUGUCUGUGCAUUCUGUUUUACUUAGGUAUAUAUAUAGUGUACAUAAAGGAUAAACGCCCAAAUUUACAUCUCAUCUUCCUAGAUGUUAAAGAGGUUGCCAAUGUAUGACAAAAGUAGUGAGAAAAUAAAUACAUUGUGUAUACUUUGUGUUAAAAUUCUUAAGAUUGUUUUGAAAACGACUGGAGGAGGUGAAAUUGUUAAAGUCCCUUCUAAGUGCUUAUUACACCUGUCCACUAGGUUGACAGAGAUAAGAAGGGGAAGGGUUCUAGGCCAAUGUUCCUGUUUAGAAGACACUUUGAGAUUAUGGCCUUUGUGUGCAAUUUGUUCAAUACCACAUGUAUGUAAACUUAAAUCCUUAUUUGAAACAUCUAGUCUUUCUGGAUGUUUAAAAGUGUACAACAUAUGUUAAAAGUAGAUAAAGUAACACCUUUUAAGUAUUUUUUCUGUGAAUUCAUAGGAAUGGUCACAUGUGAGGAAUGGGAUUGUUAAACUUGAGCCUUGGAGACUAUGCUGACUGAUCACUGGGGUGGUGGGGGUUGGAGGGACAGGGAAGGAAGUGCAGAGAAGGGUUCAGUGCUCUAAAGACAGGUUCAGACUGUCUAGCCAUUGUUCUGUUUGUGCAUUUUAGUUAAUAUUGCUGUGUAUUAAGGAAUAAACAAGUCCUACUGUUCAAAGUAAAAAAAAAAA